UUCUUAGUGAAAGAACAUAUGUUGCCAAUAUCAACAUGAGUUUAUGUUUUGAAUCAACUGGAUGUUUUCUACAGCAUAUAAUACUCAAGGAUGCAAAACUUCCAAAGCCUCUGUGUGACUUUAAUGAGGGAUUUCCUAUAAAAGAUUUUUCACUGACGAAAUGGUUAAAACAGUAUGACUUGGAAAUUGGGAAAAGUGUACCAGAGUUUGCAGUAGAUUUGUUGUUUCAUCAAAUGGGAAUCUCUGGAUAUCUACAACAUCCUCAAUGUGCAAAAUCCAUGUACAAUCCUAACAUUCAAGGCUGGAAUACUCUAGCAUGUUCAGCAGAUAUUUUAGUACCAACCCUACCAGUUUAUGCAAGCUGUCAUCUGCCAAGUUACUGUACAGGACUUCAGUGUUGUGUAGAGGUACCUCUGCUCCAAAGAACAUUUGAAACACAUGUAUUAUUGGAUGCAUGUGCUUACAAA